AAAGGGAAGGAGAAAUGGAAUUGCAUGGAUGGUGGAAGGAGACCCUCGUUGUUAUACAAAAUACAUGAAUGAAGAUGUGAGAAAAAAAGAAAAAAAAGAAUAGUGCUACCCUAGAUUAGGUAGAGAGAAGUGAUGGAAGGGGAAGGGAGGGAUUGGGGAGAUAGGAAGGAUAGUAGAAUGAAACAGACAUUAUUAUUAUUGUGUGUAUAUAUGUGAAUGCAUGACCAAUGUGAUUCUGCAACCUGUACACUCAGAAAAAUGAGAUAUUAUAUCCCAUCUGAUUCAAAUGUAUGAUAUGUCAAGGUCAUUAUACUUUCAUGUGUAACUAAGUAAAACAAAUAAAAAUAAAUAAAUAACACUAUAUAAAUCAAAUGGACCUAAUAGAUAUCUAUGGAAUAUUCCACCCACAAUCAGCUAAAUUUACCUUCUUCCUGGCUGUGCAUGGAACUUUUUCCAGAGUAGAUCAUAAUCUAGGCCACAAAGAAAAUCUUAGCAAAUACCAGAAAUUCAGUGAAAUCCCAUGUGUUCUAUAAGAUCACAAUGGAAUGAAGCUAGAAAUCAACAGAAAAAAGAAAAUAAAUCACAUAAACAUGUGGAGAUUGAACAAUAGUCUCUUAAAUGAAGAAUGGACUAAAAAAGAGAUAAGAAUAGAAAGCAAGAAAUUUUUAGAAUGAACAAUAAUAGAGAUAUAGCAUAUCAAAAUCUCUGGGACAUUUGAAAGCAGUUCUAGUGGAUAAUUUCUAGCACUGAGUGCCUACAUUAAAAAUUAGAGAUAUCUCAAAUAAAUAAGCUUAUGCUCCACCUCAAAGGCUUAGAAAAGAAGACAGGAAAUAAUUAAGAUCAGCAUCAAAAUCAAUGCAAUUGAGAAGAAGAGAAGGCCUGUGAUUAAAUCCAAUAUCCAUUCAUGUUAAAAAUGCUGGAGAAGCUAGGGAUCAAAGAACUUACCUUACCAUUGUAAAGGCCAUUCAUGACAAACCCAAAGCCAACAUAAUACUAAAUGGAGAAAAACUAAAAGAAUCUCUUCCAAAUUCAGGAACAAGAUAAGGCUGUCACUCUUACCAGUCCUAUUCAAUAUAGUCAUUGAAACAUUAGCUAGAGCAAUCAGGCAAGAAAAGGAAAUCAAAUGGCUACAAAUAGAAAAAGAAGUCAAAAUAUCUCUGUUGGCUGACAAUAUGAUCCUAUAUCUGGAAGACCCAAAAACUCUACUGGAAGACUUCUAGAGCUCAUAAAUGAGUUUAACAAGGAUACAAGGUCAACACCCAUAAAUCAAUAGCUUUCCUAUACUCUAACAGUGAUUCAGCAGAGGAAGAAAUCUGUAAAAUCAUACCAUUCACAAUAACCUCAAAACAAAAAUUUAAUACUUGGGAAUUACUCUUAACAAAAGAGGUAAAAUAACUCUAAAGUGAAAAUUAUACAACACUGAAGAAAAAUUGAAGAAGAUCUUAGAAAAUGAAAAGACAUCACAUGUUCUUUGAUAGGCAGAAUUAAUAUUGUCAAAAUGGCUAUACUACCAAAAGCCAUUACAGAGUCAAUGCAAUCCACAUUGAAAUAUCAAUGACAUUCUUCACAGAAUUAGGAAAGAAAAUUCUUAAAUUCAUUUGGAAUAGUAAGAGACCCAGAAUAAUCAAUGAAAGAGUAAGCAAGGAAAGUGAAGCAGGAGGUAUCACAAUGCCUGAUCUGAAGUUAUACUAUAGAGCUGUAGUAACAAAAACAGCAUGGUAUUGACAACAAACUAGACACAAAGACAAAUGGAAUAGAAGAUACAUACCUAAAGUUGUCUAAUAUUUGACAAAGGUGCCAAAAAUAUAUCUUGGAGAAGAAACAGCCUUUUAUAUAAUAGGUACUGGGAAAACUGGAUAGCUAUGUGUAGAAAAAUGAAAUUAGACCCCUAUCUCACCUGCACAAUACUCAAAUCAAAAUGGAUCAAAGACUUAAGAAUUAUAUCAGAAACUUUACAACGGCUGCAAGAAAUACAGCAUCAACACUCCAUCAUAUAGGUGCUGGCACUGACUUAACAUGAUCCCUAAAGCACAAGCAAUAAAACCAAGAGUCAAUAAGGGGGAUGCUAUUAAACUAAAAAGCUUCUGCACAAGAAAGGAAAUGAUUAAGAGCAUGAAGAGAUAGCCUACAGAAUAGGAGAAAAUUUUGGCCAGCUACUCCUGUUAUAAGGAAUUAAUAUCCAGAAUAUAUAAAGAACUCAAAAAAUGUAACACCCCUCCUCAAUAACCCAAUCAAUAACUGAUCAAAAGAACUAAACAGAAAUUUCUCAGAAGAAGAAACACAAUGGCCAAAAAUAUAUGAAAAAAUGUUCAACAUCUGUAGUAACCAGGGAAAUGCAAAUCACAAACUACCCUUAAGAUUUCAUCUCACUACAAUUAGAAUGGCAAUGGUCAAGAAUAUGAACAACAGUAAAUGCUAAUGAGGCUGUAGGGGAAAAGUUCCACUUGUACAUUGUUAGUAGAUUGCAGAAUAGUAAAACCACUCUGGAAAGCAGUAUGAAGAUUCUUCGAGAAACUAGUGAUGGAACCGCCAUAUGACCCAGCUCUCACUCCUUGGUAUUUUCUCAAAAGAUCUAAAAUCAGCAUACUACUGUUACACAGCCAUAUCAAGGUUUAUAGCACAUCACAGCCACAUCACAAUAGAUAAAUUAUGCAGUCAAUCCAGAUGCCCAUCAAUAGAUAAAUGGAUUACAAAAUUGUGAUACACACACACACAAUGGAGUUCUAGCCAUAAGAAAGAAUGCAAUUAUGGCAUUUGCCAGAUGGAAAUGAAAAAUCAUGCUAAGUGAAAUGAGCCAAACUCAGAAAUUUAAAGGCCAAAUGUUUCCCCUCAUAUGGGGAAGCUAGAGUGAAAUACAGGAAAUGGGGAGGAAAUGAUAGUAUAACAUAAAGAAUCAAAUACAAAUUAUUAAAAGAUGAGUGAAAGGCGAUCUAGUAGUUAGGAGAAUGAGAUAGGAGAGGGAGGGCAGGAUGGAAAAUGGGGAGAGAAAAGGGGAGGAAGUCAUGGAUUGAAAUAGAUUUCCAUGAAUGUGUGUUUAUUGGAAUGAACCUGAGUACUAUGUAUAAAGCUCUAAUAAAAAAUAAAAAAAUGUUGAGUCUUUUAUAUAUGUCACUCACUUUUCUAUAUAUUGCAGGGAACAAAAUAAAACAACUUACCUUCCAUUGUGGGAAGAAAUAAGAAUAUUUAUUCUUCCCCUUUCAUGUUUUAGCUUUAUUCAGCUACAUUUUUUAUUGUGGUAAAUAUAUGUAAAAAGUCGCCAUUUUAAUUAUUUAGGUAUAUAAUUCGGUAACAGUUAGUACAUUUACUAUGUUGUUGCUAUUUAAUUUUGGAACAUUGUUCAUCACACCAAAAGGAAACCUUUACCUAUUAAACAGUUACGUCCCAGAACAUGUCAUCUCAUCCUCUAGCAACCACUAAUCUGCUUUCUGUCUCUAUGGAUUUACAUAUUUUGGAUAAAUUCAAUCAUACAAUAUGUGACUCUUUUGUCCAGCAUCUUCCAUUUAGCAUAAUGGCAGCUGAGAGCAGGAAAAGUAUAUUCCAAAGACACAAAGAGACAUAAAGAUUUUGUUCUGGAAUUAUGAAUUUUAUAAUAAUAAUAUUAUUAUUUUGUUAUUUACUGCCCAGGGCAGUUUACCUUUAACAAUCUCUUGAUUCCUCAGAUUUAGAAAAAUCUUGGAAGACUGCUAGGUAGAAAACUAAGAUGAAAGGAACACUGUCCUCUUCUUUUUAAAAGUAAAAUCCCAAAUAUAAUGUCCACCUAUUGUGAUAAGCAAAUACCCUGCUGUGUCUUAUAAUUGCUGUGGUAAUGUUUAAUAAAUAGUUCUGAAUAAACAGAUUAUAAAAUAAUUUUAUAUGUUGUUUUUCUUUUUUUUUUGUCUAGUCAGAAUUACUUCUUCUGGACUUACCUUCUCUUUAUCUAGAGAUUCAUAUUGUGCUGGAUAAAGCUUUGUAUGAUUACUUGGGCUCUGAUAGCACGAUAGUAACAAAUAAAAUCUUUGAAAUUAUCAGCCUUGUAAAUUCGGCAUUUACUCAAUUGAAAGUUACUAUUGUGCUGACAUCAUUGGAGUUGUGGUCAGAUAAAAAUAAGAUUUCUACAGUUGGCAAAGCAGAUGAAUUAUUGCGUAGAUUUUUAGAAUGGAUGCGGUCUUAUCUUACCUUAAGGCCUCAUGAUGCUGUAUAUCUAUUCAUGUAAGGAUGAUGUUUCAGUAUUCCUAGAAAGAAAAGGAAUAUCUGUGAUUGUGAUGUAGCUUAACUGAGGGACUUGGUAUUCAUUUCUGACUACUCAGACUUUCAUUAUUCAUUAUGUGAUCUCUUUCUGUUUGUCAAGCAGCAAAAAAGAUUACUAGCAUUUAUUUCUGAGCAUAUCAAAUUAAGAUAAGAUUUAAAGAGGUUAAGCUAUCUCAGGACUCUCACCCAGUGGGUAUAUCUAGGUUUUGAACUUAGUUUGUAACUCCAGUGCCCAAACAGCCACUACAUUAAGAGAUGGGAGUUGUAAGUUUAUAUCUUGAUAUAAACUUGAUCAAAACUUGGAAAAAUAGGUUACAAAUAUUUUUUUCUAAUAAAUUUUUUGCAUUAUUUUAAAAUUAUUUUAAAGUUGGCACUUUAACAUUUCCUUUUGCAUGCAUAAGAUUCAUCUUUCCCUCAUGUAUCAGUCGGCAAUAAAUGUUGUUACUCCUUUAAUUUUUGGUCAUCUGAAGAACAUAAAGUAAUGCCAUUACAUAACAUCUUAGUUUCCUUUUUUUCUGAUGACUAGUGGAUUUCAACAUCUUUCAUGUGCUUCUUGAUCACUUGCCUCUGUUCUUUUGUAAUUGCCUUUUCAUGCCAUUUGAGUGUUUCUUUAUAAUUUGUGAGGAUGUUUUGAAUGUUUAGAUAUCAAACUUUUGUUUAUGAGCAUGACAGAUAAUUUUGUAUAUCUAUAAUAAUUUUGCUCCAGUAUUACUUUUACAUUUCAUAUGGUUAACAUUGCUAAUAUUUUAUUUUUUAAAUUUGGGUUUUCUGUAUGAUGGAAAAGCUCUCUCCAUGUUCUAGAUUUUAGUCUGCUAUUUUUUUAGAAUUAAUAAUAUUGAAGUUUAUAAUUUAAGUCUUUAAUCCAAAUUCAGCUAUUUUUUGAAAGUACAAAAUAGAGGUACACUUUUGUUUUCUGUCAUAUGACAGAAGGCAUUGCCUGUGUGUGCCUAUGUGUUGGAGUGUUGAUCCUAUGUUUUCUUCUAGCAGUUGUAAAAUUUUGGGUUUGAUUCCUAGGUCUUUGAUCUAUUUUGAUGUUACUCAUAUUUGAAUGAGUUGAUUGUUCUGUGCCCAUGCCAACUCUCCACAAAAUGAUCGUGUCAAGGGGUGAGUGUAGAGGGAACAGGGUAACUUCCCAGGUUUGUCUGUUUUAAGGCUUUGUCUUUUGUUGUUUCUGUGUUGAAUGUUCUUCAAAGUAUGCUUCCAUUGCUUGCUAGUAUUUUUUUUAAACUCUCUAUGCCUGUACUAAUAUUUUCACUCAUUCUCCCCGCCCAUGACUAACUUCUUUCAAGUACAUACCUCUUGCCUUCCAAUGUGAUCUUCUUCUUCUUGGAAAUUUUAUUUUUGUUGGAGUUGUCUGAUAUUUGCAAUAACUGAAACUUUCUGUCUACUUUCCAUGUCUUCUUUUUUUCUGCUUCCUUUUUGUUGAUUUGAAUACUUUUAUAGUUUAAGCAUAAUAUUUGUAACAUUGAAAUACCAUUUAAUUAAUCUCAUUAUUAAUUUAAAAUUUAAUUAAAUUAUUAAUUUUAA